UAGCAGAACUUGAAUUUCAACAGAGAAACUUAACAAUAACAACAACUACAACAACAACAAAAAUGUGUAUUUUAACAGCUCUACUGAAAUGCUGAAGACUUGAUCCUAUGCUUGGAAAUGGGGGAUAAAGUCAAUUGCAAGAGACAAAAAGAGCAGAGGCCUGGAAAAGGACUAUUCUACCGAACCUGGAAGGGAGAAGAUAAAUACAGCUGGACACAUGGAGGACAGAUUACUUCAUGGCUAAUUCGCAGGAAUUAAUGUGUUAGAGCCUUCAAAGAGCACGCACUACCCUUCUCUUCCCACUUGCUCUUCAGCCUUCACCUCUGAGAGGAACUCUGAUGUGGAUUAGAGAUUGCAGUUACUCUUCCUCCCACAUUGUCACCUAGUAUCUGUUGG
rnacentral:lncRNA from 1 species